rnacentral:rRNA from 1 species
UGGGGAAUCUUCCGCAAUGGGCGCAAGCCUGACGGAGCAACGCCGCGUGAGUGAAGAAGGGUUUCGACUCGUAAAGCUCUGUUGUCGGGGACGAAUGUCAGGACUCAAAAUAUGGGUUCUGAAUGACGGUACCUGACGAGGAAGCCACGGCUAACUACGUGCCAGCAGCCGCGGUAAUACGUAGGUGGCGAGCGUUGUCCGGAAUUAUUGGGCGUAAAGGGAGCGCAGGCGGGAGGUCAAGUCUAUCUUAAAAGUGCGGGGCUCAACCCCGUGAGGGGAUGGAAACUGGUCUUCUUGAGUGCAGGAGAGGAAAGCGGAAUUCCUAGUGUAGCGGUGAAAUGCGUAGAUAUUAGGAGGAACACCAGUGGCGAAGGCGGCUUUCUGGACUGUAACUGACGCUGAGGCUCGAAAGCGUGGGGAGCGAACAGGAUUAGAUACCCUGGUAGUCCACGCCGUAAACGAUGAAUGCUAGGUGUAGGAGGUAUCGACCCCUCCUGUGCCGGAGUUAACGCAAUAAGCAUUCCGCCUGGGGAGUACGGCCGCAAGGCUG